GGGGGGAGCAAGCGUUGUUCGGAUUUACUGGGCGUAAAGGGCGCGUAGGCGGCCACCGCAAGUCGACUGUGAAAUCUCUGGGCUUAACCCAGAACGGUCAGCCGAUACUGCGGGGCUAGAGUGCAGAAGGGGCAACUGGAAUUCUCGGUGUAGCGGUGAAAUGCGUAGAUAUCGAGAGGAACACCUGCGGCGAAGGCGGGUUGCUGGGCUGACACUGACGCUGAGGCGCGAAAGCUAGGGGAGCGAACGGGAUUAGAUACCCCGGUAGUCCUAGCCUUAAACGAUGAAUGCUUGGUGUCUGGGGUUUUAUAGUCCCCGGGUGCCGUCGCUAACGCUUUAAGCAUUCCGCCUGGGGAGUACGGUCGCAAGACUGAA
rnacentral:rRNA from 1 species